rnacentral:rRNA from 1 species
CGUAGGGGGCGAGCGUUGUCCGAAGUUACUGGGCGUAAAGCGCGCGUAGGCGGGGAUUAAGUGAGAGGUGAAAGGCUGGGGCUCAACCUCAUGCAGUGCCUCUCAUACUGGUCUUCUUGAGGGCGGUAGGGAGAAGUGGAAUGGCUGGUGUAGCGGUGAAAUACGUAGAUAUCAGUCGGAACACCGGUGGCGAAGGCGGCUUCUUGGGCCGUUCCUGACGCUGAGGCGCGAAAGCUGGGGGAGCGAACGGGAUUAGAUACCCCGGUAGUCCCAGCCGUAAACGAUGGAUACUAGGUGUCGGGGGUAUCGACCCCCCCGGUGCCGCAGCUAACGCAUUAAGUAUCCCGCCUGGGGAGUACAGCCGCAAGGUUG